rnacentral:rRNA from 1 species
GACGAACGCUGGCGGCGUGCUUAACACAUGCAAGUCGAACGGUAAGGCCCUUCGGGGUACACGAGUGGCGAACGGGUGAGUAACACGUGGGUGAUCUGCCCUGCACUUCGGGAUAAGCCUGGGAAACUGGGUCUAAUACCGGAUAGGACCACUGCCUGCAUGGGUGGUGGUGGAAAGCUUUUGCGGUGUGGGAUGGGCCCGCGGCCUAUCAGCUUGUUGGUGGGGUGAUGGCCUACCAAGGCGACGACGGGUAGCCGGCCUGAGAGGGUGACCGGCCACACUGGGACUGAGAUACGGCCCAGACUCCUACGGGAGGCAGCAGUGGGGAAUAUUGCACAAUGGGCGCAAGCCUGAUGCAGCAACGCCGCGUGCGGGAUGACGGCCUUCGGGUUGUAAACCGCUUUUAGAAGGUAAGAAGCCUUCGGGUGACGGUACCUGCAGAAAAAGGACCGGCUAACUACGUGCCAGCCGCCGCAGUAA